rnacentral:rRNA from 1 species
UACGUAGGUGGCAAGCGUUGUCCGGAAUUAUUGGGCGUAAAGCGCGCGCAGGCGGUCUUUUAAGUCUGAUGUGAAAUCUCGUGGCUCAACCACGAACGGUCAUUGGAAACUGGGAGACUUGAGUACAGAAGAGAAGAGCGGAAUUCCACGUGUAGCGGUGAAAUGCGUAGAGAUGUGGAGGAACACCAGUGGCGAAGGCGGCUCUUUGGUCUGUAACUGACGCUGAGGCGCGAAAGCGUGGGGAGCGAACAGG